GGCUAGGUAGAUGGAGAACAGGCCCAAAAGCUGAGCUUGGAGGCACAGUUCAGGAAUUGAGGAGGUGAGAAGGAACAGCACAAGAUAUUAAGAAACAGCCUAUAACAUAGGAAAGACGUCAUGAGAACUUGGUGUAUUUCCAGGAGAAAAAGAAACCAACUGUGACAAGACCAAGAUUGAGCAGUGACUUUUGGAUUUAGCAAUGUGGGUAUCAUUGCAGACAUGGCAAGAGUGGUUUUUGAGGAGGAGAUGCAAGCCUUACUGUAACUACCCUACUGGUGGAGAGUGUGGAAUAUCAAAAU
rnacentral:lncRNA from 1 species